rnacentral:lncRNA from 1 species
CCAGUGUGUCCCCAGUGUCCCCAUACAGACCCCAUUGUCCCCAGUGACUUCAGUGUGAUCUCAAUGUGCCCAUAGAGACCCCAUGGAGACCCCAAUGGCCCAUAAAGACCCCACUGACCCCAUAAAGACCCCAGUGUCCCACAGAGACCCCAAUGUGACCCCAGUGUCACCACUGAACCCCAUACAGACCCCAUUGUCUCCUGCGUCACCCAGUGUGACCUCACUGUCCCCAGGGAGCCCUAUAGAAACCCCAUUGUCCCCACAGACCCCAAUGUCCCCAUAGAGACCUCAGUGUGACCCCACUGUCUCCAAUGUGACCUCCAUGUCCCCAUACAGACCCCGCUGUUUUCAGAGUGACCUCAGUUUGAUCUCAGUGUCCCCAUAGAGACCCCACUGACACCCACAGAGACCCCAGCGUGACCUCAAUUUCCCCAUAGAGACCCGCUCUGCCCCCCACCCCAUAGCCCCCCCCAUACCAACAGCUGGAACUCAUCACUCAUCCUUCGCAGCUCCCGGCCAUAUUUCCGUGCUGCCCAUAGGACGGGGGGGGCAGAGCGGGAACGGCCUCGAAAUGUGGGGGGGGGGUCCCCACCUCCUGACCCCCCCCCUCCACCUUCUGCAAUGGAGGGGAUUGGGGGGGAAGAGUGAGGGAUGCUGGACCCCAAAACUGGGGGAGGGCUCCUAAAGGGAGAGUUUUUUGGGGGGGUGUAUUGGGGGGGUUAAUUUGGGGUCCCUGAAAUGUUGGGGGAGGAGAAAGGGGUGGUCAGCACUGCUGGACCCCAAAACUGGGGGGACCCCAGAAUUGGAGGGGGGGGCAAUCUAAAGGGUGAGGCUCAAUGGAAGAAUUAAUUGGGGGGGGGGUCUUAAUUGGGGCGGUCACAAUGGGGGGGGACCCAAUGAGGAGUCCUAAGUAGGGGCUUCAAAAGAAGAAGGGUUUUAAGGACAGGGUCCAAACUGGGGGGGGUCCUAAUAGGGGGGAGUCCCAAUGAGGGGUCCCAAGUAGGGCUUCAAAAGGUGGGGGGGGAAGGGGGGGGACACGUCCUAAGGACAGGGUCC